rnacentral:rRNA from 1 species
UACGAGGGGGGCGAGCGUUGUUCGGAAUUAUUGGGCGUAAAGGGUGCGUAGGCGGUUUGGUAAGUCUUAUGUGAAAUCUACAGGCUCAACUUGUAGUCUGCAUGAGAAACUGCCGGGCUUGAGUAUGGGAGAGGUGAGUGGAAUUCCUGGUGUAGCGGUGAAAUGCGUAGAUAUCGGGAGGAACACCGGUGGCGAAGGCGGCGAUCUGGGUC